rnacentral:rRNA from 1 species
CUGGCUCAGAUUGAACGCUGGCGGCAGGCCUAACACAUGCAAGUCGAGCGGUAGAGAGGUGCUUGCACCUCUUGAGAGCGGCGGACGGGUGAGUAAUGCCUAGGAAUCUGCCUGGUAGUGGGGGAUAACGCUCGGAAACGGACGCUAAUACCGCAUACGUCCUACGGGAGAAAGCAGGGGACCUUCGGGCCUUGCGCUAUCAGAUGAGCCUAGGUCGGAUUAGCUAGUUGGUGGGGUAAUGGCUCACCAAGGCGACGAUCCGUAACUGGUCUGAGAGGAUGAUCAGUCACACUGGAACUGAGACACGGUCCAGACUCCUACGGGAGGCAGCAGUGGGGAAUAUUGGACAAUGGGCGAAAGCCUGAUCCAGCCAUGCCGCGUGUGUGAAGAAGGUCUUCGGAUUGUAAAGCACUUUAAGUUGGGAG